GAGCGUGACGGCGCGAGCAGGUGCGAAAGCAGGUCAUAGUGAUCCGGUGGUUCUGAAUGGAAGGGCCAUCGCUCAACGGAUAAAAGGUACUCCGGGGAUAACAGGCUGAUACCGCCCAAGAGUUCAUAUCGACGGCGGUGUUUGGCACCUCGAUGUCGGCUCAUCACAUCCUGGGGCUGAAGUAGGUCCCAAGGGUAUGGCUGUUCGCCAUUUAAAGUGGUACGCGAGCUGGGUUUAGAACGUCGUGAGACAGUUCGGUCCCUAUCUGCCGUGGGCGCUGGAGAACUGAGGGGGGCUGCUCCUAGUACGAGAGGACCGGAGUGGACGCAUCACUGGUGUUCGGGUUGUCAUGCCAAUGGCACUGCCCGGUAGCUAAAUGCGGAAGAGAUAAGUGCUGAAAGCAUCUAAGCACGAAACUUGCCCCGAGAUGAGUUCUCCCUGAGACUUUAAGUCUCCUGAAGGAACGUUGAAGACGACGACGUUGAUAGGCCGGGUGUGUAAGCGCAGCGAUGCGUUGAGCUAACCGGUACUAAUGAACCGUGAGGCUUAACCUUACAACGCCGAAG
rnacentral:rRNA from 1 species